rnacentral:tRNA from 1 species
CGCCAGAUAGCUCAGUUGGUAGAGCACCUGGCUAGAGAUUCAGGGGGCCGGGAUUCGGGGCCUGGGUUCGAAUCCCGGUCUGGUCC